rnacentral:rRNA from 1 species
GAUGAACGCUGGCGGCGUGCCUAAUACAUGCAAGUCGAGCGAACAGACGAGGAGCUUGCUCCUCUGACGUUAGCGGCGGACGGGUGAGUAACACGUGGAUCACCUACCUCUAAGACUGGGAUAACUUCGGGAAACCGGCGCUAAUACCGGAUAAUAUAUUGAACCGCAUUGUUCAAUAGUGAAACACGGUUUUGCUGUCACCUAUAGAUGGAUCCGCGCCGCAUUAGCUUGUUGGUAAGGUACCGGCUUACCAAGGCGACGAUGCGUAGCCGACCUGAGAGGAUGAUCGGCCACACUGGAACUGAGACACGGUCCAGACUCCUACGGGAGGCAGCAGUAGGGAAUCUUCAGCAAUGGGCGAAAGCCUGACGGAGCAACGCCGCGUGAGUGAUGAAGGUCUUCGGAUCGUAAAACUCUGUUAUUAGGAAAGAACAAAAGCAUAAUUACAGGUAGACGUCGUGACGGUACCUAAUCAGAAAGCUACGGCUAACUACGUG